rnacentral:pre_miRNA from 1 species
AAGAAGACAAACUCUGGUUUUUCGUGUCCAAUGUUUGAUUGUCCGUCUUAUAUGAAAUUUUUUUAUAAUUAGUAUUUUCAUUGUUGUUAGAUGAUAAAACAUGAUUAAUACUUUAUGCGUGAUUUGUCUUUUUAAUUUUUUUCAUAAUUUUUUCGAAUAAGACGGACGGUCAAACAUUGAACACGGAAACCCAGGGUUUGUCUUUUU